CUGUUAAUGAGCGACUGUCUUGAGGUAAAUGAUGUGGAGUGUGUUUGCAUAUUGAUCAGAUGCUUCAGUGCUCUGAGAGUGUUUAUAGUGCUGUGAGUUUAACACUUCAUCACUGACACACACAACAAUCUUCAUCAACAUGACCUUCAUCAUCAUCUUCAUCUGGACUCUCACAGCGUUUGCUCAAGAGUGUAGAGGACAGAUCAGCGUCACUCAGAGUCCCUCAACAGCAGCUCAACCAGGAGAAACAGUGAAGAUCAACUGUAGAACCAGCAGAGAUGUGCAAAGAUGGAGUAAUGGGAUUGAAGGUUUAUCCUGGUACUUACAGAAACCUGGAGAAGGUCCUAAACUCCUGAUUUAUUAUGCUAACCGCCUCCAGUCAGGAACUCCAUCUAGAUUCAGUGGCAGUGGAUCUAACAGUGAUUUCACUCUGACCAUCAGUGGAGUCCAGACUGAAGAUGCUGGACAUUAUUACUGUCAGAGUUUACACAACAUCAACAGUAACUGGGUGUUCACACAGUGA